rnacentral:rRNA from 1 species
GAGUUUGAUCCUGGCUCAGGACGAACGCUGGCGGCGUGCCUAACACAUGCAAGUCGAACGGAGAACUCAAAAAGCUUGCUUUGAGAGUUCUUAGUGGCGGACGGGUGAGUAACGCGUGGGCAACCUCCCCCUUAAACCGGGACAACCCUUGGAAACGAGGGCUAAUACCGGAUACACUUUUCUGAGGACAUCCUCGGGAAAGGAAAGGCGGCCUCUGAAGAUGCUGCCGAUAAGGGAUGGACCCGCGUCUGAUUAGCUGGUUGGUGGGGUAAAGGCCUACCAAGGCGACGAUCAGUAGCCGGCCUGAGAGGGUGAACGGCCACACUGGGACUGAGACACGGCCCAGACUCCUACGGGAGGCAGCAGUGGGGGAUCUUCCGCAAUGGACGAAAGUCUGACGGAGCAACGCCGCGUGUAUGACGAAGGCCUUCGGGUUGUAAAGUACUGUCUUUAGGGACGAACGGUAUCUAUGUGAACAAUGUAGGUACAUGACGGUACCUAAGGAGGAAGCCCCGGCUAACUACGUGCCAGCAGCCGCGGUAAUACGUAGGGGGCGAGCGUUGUCCGGAAUCAUUGGGCGUAAAGGGCGCGUAGGCGGAUUUUUAAGUCUGGUGUGAAAACUUGGGGCUCAACCCCAAGCCUGCAUCGGAAACUGGGAAUCUUGAGGACAGGAGAGGAAAGUGGAAUUCCACGUGUAGCGGUG